UACGUAGGGGGCAAGCGUUAUCCGGAUUUACUGGGUGUAAAGGGAGCGUAGGCGGCGACGCAAGUCAGAAGUGAAAGCCCGGGGCUCAACUCCGGGACUGCUUUUGAAACUGUAUGGCUAGAUUGCAGGAGAGGCAAGUGGAAUUCCUAGUGUAGCGGUGAAAUGCGUAGAUAUUAGGAGGAACACCAGUGGCGAAGGCGGCUUGCUGGACUGUAAAUGACGCUGAGGCUCGAAAGCGUGGGGAGCAAACAGG
rnacentral:rRNA from 1 species